rnacentral:rRNA from 1 species
GACGAACGCUGGCGGCGUGCCUAAUACAUGCAAGUCGAGCGAAGUUUUUCUGGUUCUUGCACUAGAAAAACUUAGCGGCGAACGGGUGAGUAACACGUAAAGAACCUGCCUCAUAGACUGGGACAACUAUUGGAAACGAUAGCUAAUACCGGAUAACAGUAUUUCUCGCAUGAGAGAUAUUUAAAAGUUGGUUAUGCUAACACUAUGAGAUGGCUUUGCGGUGCAUUAGCUAGUUGGUGGGGUAAAGGCCCACCAAGGCGACGAUGCAUAGCCGACCUGAGAGGGUGAUCGGCCACACUGGGACUGAGACACGGCCCAGACUCCUACGGGAAGCAGCAGUAGGGAAUCUUCCGCAAUGGGCGAAAGCCUGACGGAGCAACGCCGCGUGAGUGAAGAAGGAUUUCUGUUCGUAAAGCUCUGUUGUUAGGGAAGAAUGAAUAUGUAGUAACUAUACAUGUAAGAGACGGUACCUAACCAGAAAGCCACGGCUAACUACGUG